UUUUCUGAGAAGAUCCAGCACAUCACUGCAGCCAUUGCAGGCAGCUGCUCAGCGUAGUGGCUGCCAGCCUGGUUCCUCCUGCUAGGGCCAGUGAUGGGCUGAAUCUCACCAGAAGCUAAUGCACCAGGGAGCUUGGUUGCU